rnacentral:misc_RNA from 1 species
GUGAAUCAUCAAAUCUUUGAACGCAAAUUGCGCCUUUUUCGGAAGGCAUGCCUGUUUGAGGCACCAUUUAACAAAUAAUGUGCAGCGUUUUUUUCUGCACACGUUGAUGAGCUUUCCCAGAAUUUUAAAUUUUUGGUUGCCCCUUAUGAACCGCGUGAAAGUUUUUUUCCGUUUGAGGUUUGG